GGAUGUCAAGCCUUGCAUGGCACGGAAUUGAAGUUGUUCAGCAUCAACAGCUGAACACCAAAUCCAGCUCUCAAUCAAGUCUGGAAGGCAUCUGCUUUUUAACAAACUCUGGAGACAGUACUGCCAAAAAAAGACAUUAUGAACAUUGAGGGCAAACCAACUGGAUGAAGCUGUAACUGCUUGGGAGCUUAAGAGAGGGAGAGAUCUCACCAUCUGCAUCAACUCCUUCUUGAUUGGUCUGGGCCGAGUAUCCAAGGUCGCAGUGUCCUGAGGACAACUCUUCUCACCUUCUAUCCUUGAAGAUUUCCUAAACAUCUUUGCAGCACAUUAUUGGUUGAUGAUGGACAUGGGGUAUCCGGGUGCGGGGUGAAAGGGAAAAAUAGCCUAGCGCUUUGUGUCUGAAUUUCAGAUUCCUCCUGACUUCUCUGCAAUCACUAUCUCUCAGUAAAAGUUCCUUUUGAAAUGUAAAUUGUUUCAAGAGUUUUACUUUCUUGGGAAGAUCAUUGAAGUAGGUCGUUACAGAUUCUCAGAGCUGAGAUUUAAAUAAAUAUGAAUAUUGCCAAAGCUUUAAUGCAGGAGCCCUUCUGGGAUUCUGAAUGAGUUACAAAUUUAAUGAGUAAAAGCCACUUCUCAUUGUUA